ensembl:lncRNA
CCAUACCAAAAUCUGGACCUCUGUGGAAAGAUGCUUCUGAAGCGUUCUCAGUCUCACGGCAAACACGAGGAAAAGCUGCCUUCUCCUCACCCUACUGCUCCUCGCCGUUUCAGUCCGGAGCGCGGUGCUCCUGCUGGCGCUGCCGGCAGUGCGCGCCUCCCGCCCGGCCCAGCCGAGCGCCGUCUGCGCGCUGCCGCUCUCUGCUUGCUUCCAGCGCCCGCUAGAUGACGCCUGUGAUUUUGACAGGAGCUUGCAGCCUCGGGAGUGGAAGAUUUCAAAGAUAAGUUCCUCUUUUUCCACAUCUUGUAUGGGUGGGUCUGUGUGCGUGGCGCAAAGAGGCCUCGAGCAUAGGGAAGACCAAAACAUAUCUUUGUCGCUGCGUAUUUGUGAGGACUGUGAGGCUGGAGAGAUGUGCUUUGUACUUCCAGACCCUAUUCUCACCUGGUUUGUGGAGCACUAACUAGAUUCAGCACAACAAACUUCAGCACAACAAAAAUGGUGAUGCUGAUAUGUACAACCCAUGACCUAAUGGAGGAAGGAGAAGAAUAUUAAAAACAGCUACGACGUCAGCAGACAGGCACAUCUCUCCAUGUUGUAGUGCAUGUCUUGCAGAAAUAUGCAGGAACAACUUAAGUUCACCUCCAUAGGUGAACACCUCUAGCCAGCGAUAUGCCUCAGUAUGGAAUGCAGCAGAGCUAAGUCAAUGCCUUAAUUACAGUAAAACAAAGGACACUCCUCUUCACCUAUCUGCCUCCGCUGGUUGCAUGUACUCAUGUCUAUAAAUCAAGACUUGCUUUCAUUUAAGAAAUACACAGCAUAGUUAAGACUAAUGGUAAAUAAAGGUCAUUAAACUAGAUUGACUGGACAUUUAUGUCAAGGUAUGGCAAGUUCAUUUAUAUAAAUAAUCUUGAUUGUUUUAUAACAAGCAAAUACAAUUUCCUCCUCUGGGAGCAGGUGCGGGAGGUGGUUUUAUUUGGUUGUUUGGAUUCUGAAAGUAACAUUCUGAAUAUGGGUGGGGAAAACGAGGAGAAAAUUAAAGUUGUCAUACUACAAAGUGCUUUCUGUAUCUGGGCAAUGCAAUCUUCAUUUCAUCAAAGGCUAAAACCGAAAUCCUGUCACUUGAAAGCUAAGGGAUUUGCCGACUGAGGUGGGAGUCUGCAGUUAGAACCUCAGCACUAAACACACAUAGCUGUUUACCUUGCUGGUGCCCUUGGAUCUGCGAUAUCCCCUGGAGAGCUUUAGAAAGAACCAACAAACAUCUAAGAACUAUUGAGUCAAGUCUUACCUUCCUUGGUUUCACUGCAAUCAUACUGGGACCUCCAGAGAUGCCAGUUAGAACCUUUGUUGGCCAUUGAUCAAAGGAGCAACUGUGCUGAAUCGAAACCUAGGAUGUCUUUUCCUUGGGAUAUGUGUGAGUCAUACUGACAAUGCCUAGAGAGUUUUAAAUAACCUCAUUAAACCUCGUUUCACCUUCUUUGCUACCAGUUAUUGCUGCUAACUGCCACUUCCAUGGAUGUUUAUAGCCUCUCUGCACAGUACAAAACAUUUAAUGUGAAAGAAAUAACAUGCAGGCAAAUGACCCUGCAACCACUCCAAAAGGGAAAGACUUCAGGACCUCCUCGUGCCUGAGGAAGAAGCAAGAAUGGGUAUAUCUGAUAUUUUUCCCUCUCACAAAGCAGCUCAGGCCCUGUAUUGCUCUGUACUUUUGGAUGUAAUACACUUGUGUCACAUUGCUCUCAUGUGUGACUGUCUUCAGAUCUGAAAUCAUCUCUUCCUCCAGGUGGAACAUGCUUUUCUCCGUAGAAAGAUCUCAGUAUAGGGGCAGAAACUGACUGAAUCAUGGUCUGUAUUGCAUUUUCUUCUCCUUGGUCUGAGAGAAAUUGGACAGAAAUGAGUGUUAUGUUCCAACAGUCUCUCUUUAUGUUCAUUGUCCUGGGAUAUGAUGUGGGCAAAGUAACAUUCUGAUCUGCAGUUGUUGAAACAUGACAGCUGGUGCACAGUGUUCUUUCUUUGAUUAAGAAAGGCUUAAACAAAACUUGCGGGACAUCCAGACAGCUCUCCUUCACAGGCUAUGGUGUGAUACAAGAUGUUUCACUGAAGAAAAUGGAACUACUCUGAGAUCAGAAUCAGGUCCAAGGUGAAAGAACAAUGAGUUCUUCUCAACAAUUCUUCGUCAGGUCCAUAUGGAAAGUAGUUAUGCUGCAGAGCAGCGUCAAAACAGCUUAUUAGUUAUAUCCUUCUUCCCUUCUGAGGCAGUUUAAAGGUUUAUGCUGCAUUUGUAGCAUAAGUUUCCGUAAGAAACACAUUCUGUUUGCAGCACAUCAGACUUGUGAAUCCCAAAUUCAUAAUACCAGCUAGUGAAUUCUAGAUGCUGUCUUGGAAACAAUAGUUUUGAGACCUUGUACUUGGAUCUUCCUCAGCCCACCUUCCAGAUCAUGUCCAUAAAACCUCUCCCAUGAUACCCUUCUUGCUGUCAGUUCAUUUUCAUCACAUUAGUGGUCAUCCUCCCGUUGAACUGAGAAAGAAGAAUAGGAAGAAUGUAUUCACCAAUUCUAAUCCAUGCUGAACACAUUUUCAUACGCUUAGGCAUCUUGAAGUCGGUAGGAACAUUUGCAUCAAAGUGUUUGCUGCAGGGGUAUCCUGCUCAUCAGAUUUUACUGGCACCUGUGUACGUGUGGAGAAAACCGUAUAUGUAAAUAUUUGCCGAAACUGAAUUUUCAGUGUGCAGAAGCACUUAUGUCAGUUGUAUGUUUUGGAUCACUCAACUUCUAAGUGUCAGAGCUUCGGGAGUGCCCGCCUGGCACCCUCUGUGGUUCAAGGGAAGGCAAUAUUUGCAAAAGCAGCUCACAGCCAAUCAUGCAGCCUCUUGGUUCUCAGGCUACUGAAUGCCAGUAUGAUCUUGGAGAGGAAAACGAGCAUCUGAUUAUCGGCUCCUCCAGCCAUCUUGUGUCUGAAAUUCUUCCUGAUUUUUUUGGGUUGCAGUCAAAUCAAAAUACUAAGAAAAAGCAUGAGGAACUCCUUGAACUUGUCACAACUCUUGCAAGUCCCCAGCUUUGCCACUUGGAAAAACAUAUCCUGCUACCUGUGCUUUUCUCCUUUGAAGCUUGUCAAGCAGCAAAGUGAGAUCCUUGUUUUCCAGGAUAAAUAUCGUUGGAUGAUAAAAUCUAAAUAAUGUCACAUGCCCUCCAGAACGUUAGCAUGAUGAACAGUUUUUCCAAGACAGGAUUUUAGUGGGAAGAUUUUUGUCUAUUACUUUAAAAACAUUGCAUGUUCUAGAGUCUUGUGACUGGGUUUAAGUGAACGUGUGCAAAUGACAGCCCUUCAGAAUGAUUAAAGUAACACACAAUGCAAGUCUUUUGUUUGAGAAAGAAUGAUUAUGUUUUGGUUUUGAAAACUCUUUCAUGGCCCAUUUCUUUUUUUUUUUUUUUUUGGUUAUGAUAGAAAUGCUGUAUUGUUUCAUCUACAGAAGUUACUGAUAUUGUAACUAACAUUAAGAGUAUUGGUUUGGACUUGCUCUGCAGUAACUGAUUUACAUUCUUGAGUGAGAAAAAACAGUGAGUAGUGUCUGAGGAUAAUUAUGACCAAUUGCACCUGUGCUCCUCAAAGCAAACAGUACCAAAAUCUCAACUCAGCAUAAUUCCACUCCCAGUUUUACUUGAAAAGAAUAAAUCAAUGAACAACUCCAUGGAAAGAAUUUUGUUUUUAAGAGGAAAUCAACAUUUUUCGUACACUCUUCCAUGGCUUAGAGAAAUAUGUGAGCCAAGAAACUAAAAAGCCCUAGUGUGGUGUAAAUCUUGAAUUGUCUACUGUGUUCAUGCAUCAGUUGCUCAGAGGAACCUUUGGAAGUGUGACAGAACCAGCCAUUGCCAUGUGAAAUCUAUCAGUUGAAACAAUGAAGACAUAUUAACAGGUAAUUUUUCCUCCUUUUUUUGCCAUCUUCUUUUUGGUCAAAUUACAAGGGAACUCAGCCUGUUACUUAAACUAAAUCAGUAUCUUCACCUACCUUUUGGGAUUCCAUGACAGGAUAAUUAGUGUGGCUAAAUUUUUUAAGGAACUUUUGCCUGAUUCAGGCUGUAGUUUAUUUUUACAUUUUUACAAAAUCCACUGUGUAUUUUAAGUUCAUUUGCAAGUAAGUGAAAGGAAUAGAGUACAGAUAAGUAGUAUUUAUAGGGAUGACAAUGACAAAUUUUGUUGAAAUAUUUCUCAGGGAAAAUGUCUCUCCAACGAAACUGAAAAAUAUUUGUUAACUUAGAGAAAGUAAACAUCUCUCCCCCACAAAACCAUGUUUUUCUGCAUUUUUGGUGCCCAGGCAUGUGUCUGUUUAAAAAAUGUGAAAAAUAAUUUAAAAAGAAGUAGAAGUAAUUUUUAUAUAUAUAUAUUUUUGUAUGAGAAAAAAUGCAGUUUUCUAAACAGCUGUCCUCUGUACAGAUCUACCAUAAUAAAUCAGUAUUUGUCAGUAAUAAAAGAAAAAAAUAUAUCAGAUAUCAAACAUAUUUCAGUUUCAGGCUUCCAGAGGAUUAUUAUAAACAACAGCAAGUAAAAAUAUAUGCCAAAAUGUAUUAAAAUACCUGAGGGCCCUUCUUAAGUGAAAAGUAAAACCUAAGCUUUUUUCUGCAGAUUGGGUUUCAGCUGCAGCCAAGACAAACUCAUAAAAGCUCUGUCUGUCUGGAUAUUCUGGGCAAAUCUUUGGGUUGUGCUCCUGAUCUGGGGCAGUCACCCCAGAGAUUGUGCUCCUCGGUCCAGGGGGAGCACUUGGGACAUUGUGGUGGACAUUCAUGCAGAACCAGUGAGCAGAGGAUGGAUUCAGCCAGCCAAUCUUUCUGGGAAAGCUGUUGCAUUUUUCAUUUGGGUAUUGCCAUCUGUUUCAAGUUUCAGAAAAUAUCAAGAGGUUUUUUUUUUUUUGUUUGUUUUUUGUUUUUUGUUUUUGACUUCUUAUGGUGUCUUUCUGAGAUCAUCCUACAUUUCCCCUGCCAUAUUAAGUACACAGGUGUAUCACGGGGAUGUUAUGCUGGCUGUACAUAAUAGAAUACAUACACAUAAAUCAGGAGCUCAGCUUGUCCAGCCAAAAAAAGAUAAAGAUUACAGUCACCACUGUAGAUGCCCAAUGGUGGGACUAAUUCAAGUUACAACCUCCUGCAUUUUUCCCAAAAUGAAAUUUCAGUAAUAUCUGUUCCAAGAAAGAUAUGCUUUUGUUCUGAAAUCUCUCUUAAUUUGUUGUAGGCUGCUGAUUUUCCAUUACCGCCUGUGGAGGAAGCAAGUGUCACAUCACUGUUCUUGCCAUUCAGUUUUGGAAUCAAAUGCUUUGCAUUGCUUUUGAUAGCCUGGGCAGCGGUUGAUAUGGAUAAUGAUGCAUACGUUUUGUUCUUCUGGCUGGAUGAGGACUGGCUUGGUCCAGUGAGGCUGGUCCAGAUAAAGAGUUCAGAUUUGCUGCCUAACAGUCCUUCAGAUAUCCAUCUAACGCUGUCUGUUUCCAAAGUGAUGUUCCAGAAGCUAUUUUGCUAGAGUGUUUAUGGAGUGUAGAAAGGAAAGUAACAAAAGUUAGUAUAUCUUCCAAUUUUAUUUGAGUGACAACUCACAUGCAGCUAGUAGGCUGGCUUUCCUUUCAUGGCUUGUUUCUCAAAACAUGUAGGACUCAAUGCACAAAGACUUACGCUACUGUGAUAAAAAACAGUGUUGUGACUUGCUGUAGGAAGACCAUUCAGCAACCUGGCAUUAUGUAUUCCUUCCAGAAGUAAUCCAUGUCAGAAGUGUAAUACGACGGUGUCAUCCUUGUGAGGAAACCUUUGUAGGGCCUAGAAGGCACAGCCCAGGAGAAGUGCCUUUGAGAUCAUUUCCCAUAAACUCUAUCUGAACCUUGUAAAAUAUUGGCCUCUAUGCAUGCUGCAGUAGAUGAAUGUGACCUCCAUUUAUCUUUCAUAUUACAAAUAUUUUCUGUGAUUUAAGGCCUUCAUUGCUUCCGUUUGCUGUCAAGGAAAUGAAGGAAAUAGGUUUCAGUAGCACUUUACAGAAUGUACUUAUCUUCAGUCAUUGCUGUAAAUAUGUAGUGAUCAUAUUCUCACUGUGCAAAAUAAAUCAGAAUGUUUUGCCAGUUAGUUCACUCAGAUCUGAACUUAAGUUAUAACCACUGUCAAUUUUUCCCUUGUUAAUAAAUUUCUUAGCUGCAUUGUAUUUUUAACACUUUUCAUUGAUUCACAGCUAUAGUUAAUAAAGAAGUGUUGGAAUAAAAUCAAGGUCCACUGAGUAUCUUUCCAGUGUAGUAUUUAGAACAGCAAGGAUCUCAUAAAUAACAGUAGUGGGAUUUGUAAAGUAUCUCACCUCUGUGGUGCUUGAAGUCCUGAACAGAGG